ensembl:lncRNA
UCCGACCUGUGGUCCUAUUGCACGCGUCAUUCCUUCUCUUUCCUCAAAACCCGAUCUCCUGCCUCCACUGUCCCUAUCCAUCCAGAACUCAUCAAAUUCACAAAGGACCGCAGACAAAUGUAUGAAGACGACGACAAAGGGACCAGAAUCAAAUCCAGAAAGUAUCGUAGGGUCAGGGUGAAGAAUAACACUAGUAUAUAUUCUCUUGCCGGGACCAUUUGUGGACACAGUUCGGUGUCCUCCCGCAGCGCCCACCAGCAGGUGUCUGGACCACUGACCGCGGGGGACAACCUCCGACCGUCGUCUCCAUCAGCUCCCCCGCUGGGCCACACAAACGGCCGCCCUCCCUUCACCGGGAGCCGGAGGCAUCACGCCACUCGAGCCACUGAGUCGGAUGGUGUUCUGGAUCCAACUAGCCUCUUUCCAGGGGUCAGUUGACUACGGGACGUGGAGAAAUGAUGGCUGCAGGCUAGCCUUGCUGGAGAGAAGUUAAGCAGCCCAGCAGAAUUCAUCCUCACAAUGCAGCCUUGUUCGCGCCCACAGUGUCUGAGCCAGCAUGUGGCACGCGGCGGAAUGAACCGAGG